rnacentral:rRNA from 1 species
CCUACGGGAGGCAGCAGUGGGGAAUAUUGCGCAAUGGGCGAAAGCCUGACGCAGCGACGCCGCGUGAGGGAUGAAGGUCUUCGGAUCGUAAACCUCUGUCAGCAGGGAAGAACGGUCACUGUGCUAAUCAGCAGUGAAUUGACGGUACCUGCAAAGGAAGCACCGGCUAACUCCGUGCCAGCAGCCGCGGUAAUACGGAGGGUGCGAGCGUUAAUCGGAAUUACUGGGCGUAAAGCGCUCGUAGGCGGUAUGUCAAGUCAAGGGUGAAAUCCCCGCGCUCAACGUGUGAACUGCAUUUGAAACUGGCAAACUGGAGUGGGUGUGAGGAUAGUGGAAUUCCAGGUGUAGGAGUGAAAUGCGUAGAUAUCUGGAGGAACAUCAGUGGCGAAGGCGACUAUCUGGCACAUAACUGACGCUGAGGAGCGAAAGCGUGGGUAGCAAACAGGAUUAGAUACCCUUGUAGUC